CCUACGGGAGGCAGCAGUGGGGAAUAUUGGACAAUGGGGGGAACCCUGAUCCAGCCAUGCCGCGUGUGUGAAGAAGGCCCUCGGGUUGUAAAGCACUUUCAGUGAGGAAGAACGCCUGGUGGUUAAUACCCAUCAGGAAAGACAUCACUCACAGAAGAAGCACCGGCUAACUCCGUGCCAGCAGCCGCGGUAAUACGGAGGGUGCGAGCGUUAAUCGGAAUUACUGGGCGUAAAGCGCGCGUAGGUGGCUUGAUAAGCUGGUUGUGAAAGCCCCGGGCUCAACCUGGGAACGGCAUCCGGAACUGUCAAGCUAGAGUGCAGGAGAGGAAGGUAGAAUUCCCGGUGUAGCGGUGAAAUGCGUAGAGAUCGGGAGGAAUACCAGUGGCGAAGGCGGCCUUCUGGACUGACACUGACACUGAGGUGCGAAAGCGUGGGUAGCAAACAGGAUUAGAUACCCUAGUAGUC
rnacentral:rRNA from 1 species